UACGUAGGUGGCAAGCGUUUUCCGGAAUUACUGGGCGUAAAGGGCGUGUAGGCGGCGAUUUAAGUCAGAUGUGAAAGAUCAGGGCUUAACCCUGGAGGUGCAUUUGAGACUGGAUGGCUUGAGGACCGGAGAGGGCAGUGGAAUUCCCAGUGUAGCGGUGAAAUGCGUAGAUAUUGGGAGGAACACCAGUGGCGAAGGCGACUGCCUGGACGGCACCUGACGCUGAGGCGCGAAAGCUAGGGGAGCAAACGGG
rnacentral:rRNA from 1 species